GUCCUCAUCACUAUCGUCCACCGGUGGUACGAGUACUUCCUCCUGUUCGAUGAGGAUUUGUUUGUACGGACCUAACCACUUCACUCCCAACUACCGGUGUACCGAGGACUCGCCUUGUUCCUUUUUCACCCACACCAAACUGUUGUGUGGUGGUCCAGCUCCUCUCUGGCAGCUGGAUAGCCUGCCACAAUCAGCCAGAUGAUGUCCUCGUUGUUGGGCCCAAGGCAAGUAUAUAUCUAAUUCAGUAUGCAGUUUGAUGUAAAAUUCACCCUUAUGGUAGCUACUGAGACACACACACACACACACACACACACACACACACACACACACACACACACACACACACACACA